AAAGCGUGCGCAGGCGGUUAUGUAAGACAGAUGUGAAAUCCCCGGGCUCAACCUGGGAAUGGCGAUGGUGACUGCAAGGCUAGAGUUUGGCAGAGGGGGGUAGAAUUCCACGUGUAGCAGUGAAAUGCGUAGAUAUGUGGAGGAACACCGAUGGCGAAGGCAGCCCCCUGGGUCAAAACUGACGCUCAUGCACGAAAGCGUGGGGAGCAAACAGGAUUAGAUACCCGGGU
rnacentral:rRNA from 1 species